AAUCAACGCUGGCGGCGUGCCUCAGACAUGCAAGUCGAACGCGAAAGUCCCCUUCGGGGGACAAGUAGAGUGGCGCACGGGUGAGUAACACGUAGGUAAUCUACCUUUGGAUGGGGAAUAACAACCGGAAACGGUUGCUAAUACCGCAUAAUGCAGCGGCACCUAAUGGUGACAGUUGUUAAAGCGGGGGAUCGAAAGACCUCGCGUCUGAAGAGGAGCCUGCGGCGGAUUAGCUAGUGGUAAGGUAAUGGCUUACCAAGGCUACGAUCCGUAACCGGCCUGAGAGGGCGGUCGGUCACACUGACACUGACAUACGGGUCAGACUCCUACGGGAGGCAGCAGUCGGGAAUUUUGGGCAAUGGGCGAAAGCCUGACCCAGCAACGCCGCGUGAAGGAUGAAAUCCCUCGGGAUGUAAACUUCG
rnacentral:rRNA from 1 species